rnacentral:tRNA from 1 species
GAUUUUAUAGUCUAAAAAGGAUGUUAAAUUGCAAGUUUAAAGGUAAAAUUAUUUUUUAAAGUUU